UCCCACUGGAUUACAUCCCACAGCUAUCUUUCAGUCGUUAUUGAUCCGCAUUUCAAGGGGCAAUUCAGAAGUGAUUUCCCGCUGCUGAGCUAUUGUGAGUCUAGUGACCAGCGGAAAGAAGAAUACAAGCUGGAUUGAGGGGGCUUUCUCAAGAGAUCGGGGCAAGAGAAGUGUCUGGAUUUAGCUGUUGACCUGCGAUGGUGGAGAUGGCAUUGGACACUUAUGAACCAGAACUUAUGAAGAACGCUACAUGGCCACCAGGCACACGAAAUGGAGCCAACAUCCCUCAGCAUCCUUAACGAACAACAGUUCCCAGAAUUCCAUGGGGGAAGUCAUGGCUGUGAAAUAUAUGGUGUGGACAGGACCCUCGAGUUUUUGCAUGUGGUGACAACCCCGGGCCAAUUUGUGUGAACUUCUUCUCCCUCAGCCGAAACAAACUAAAACAAAGGGCUAAGUUAGAGAAUCUUACAGGGCCUGUGGGCCGACGCAGCCCACGGAGGAGCGGCGUGGAGAAUAUCACCAUGGCAACCGGAAUCGACAACGCUUCCAUUUUAGUAUUUUGAAGGAGAAUAAUAAUUGCAGAGCUGGGCCCCCAAGAGAUUCCCACCCCUCCACCCCCCUCACAUUCCCUAGGUACACAGCAGCCAUACCAGCCCUGGCUCCAGACACAAAGAGCAGAACUGGAUUAGGAAGCCUAAGAAUGUUAUGUAUGAAAAAUGUGCCAUAAAGGUGAUAUUCAGAAGAGAGGGAGGGAAAAACCUUCACACUGAGCCACGAAUACAUACGCUGGGGAGUUUGCCGACGGGCCAAAUAUAGCUGCAUCUUCCUUGAAGAAUACUUGCUUUGAGCAAUAAACCAGGGGGUGGGGAACCUCAGGCCAAAGGCUCCUUGGGACUCUCUCCCGGCUGCAUCCCAUCCUCCAUCACGCUUCUCACCUGUCCCACAUCACACCUGCAAUGUUUUUGCCUGCCUGGAAUUUGUCCUUGAACUCUGACCGUGAGUCUUGCUUGCCUGGGUGUGGGAGAGAAAGCUGUGCCCUCUUCUCUCUGUGUGGAGUCUACUGUACAAAAGACAGGAUUUACAACUUGUCGUUCUGCCCACUUUUGCUUCCGGCCACCUCCACUGCUAGCUUGUGGCCCUCGGGAGGUUGCCCUGAAGGACAUGCGGUCCUCAGUCUGCAAAAGGCUCCCCUCACCUGCAGUAAAGCAGCUGGUUCAGUGCUGGCUCUCUCCAUGUUUUAUGGAGGCUGCUCUUUAUGUAGAGGAAGACACAGAUGCUGCCACCCUCCCCACAUGUCAAGCAGGAUAAUGAGCUCAUCGUUUCCAUUUGAUGCCGAAACCUGGAUAUCAGAAAACUGGGACAUUUUUUAGGUACUUUCUCUGUAUGCUUUUGAGACAGACAACUUUUUUUUAAAAAAAGGCAUUGUAAAUGUCAAGUUGCAGGAGGGUGGUUUUUCUUUAAACUUAUAAUUUUGUUGAUUUUAUUUUUUUGUGGGGAGGGGGCAGGAAACAUGCUUGCAAACAGAGAAGGAGCAGAAAAGAAGUGAAGAUCUCAUUUGCCUAAGGGUGCAGCAGUGAAUUAAAUUCAAAUGCCUGGCAUGGUCCUUCCUUCCUAGGAGUUGCAUUAACUAUGCCCACUAAUGUAUAAAAUGUCAGUUCUUGCCACAAGGAAGAGAGGGAAGAUGCUUUUGUGGUCAUUGUGUGCAGGAAAAGGUCCCUUCCCCCAAUCUCUUCAAGAACAAGCACACGCAAGCAGUGGACAUUUGAGGUGAAGGUUGCAGCUGUUUUGAAAGGAUGCAAAGCAGUUCUAGAGCUAGCGUGGCCAACGUGGUGCCCUCCGUAUCUUGCAGGACUAGAAAUCCCAUCCUCCUUUACCAUUGAAGCUGAAUGAUUAGCAGGUUCAGAGCAGACAAAGGAAAGUACUUUGCAGCACAUAGUUAAACUAUGGAACUCAUUUCCACAGGAGGGAGUGAAGACACCCUCCCCCCACCUUGGAUGAAGCACCACAGAACAACUGAUAAAGUGGAGUAAUGUGUGGACAGUCCAGUAUGAAUCCACCACCAAUAUUAUUCCAUCAAUGACACUCUGCAGAAUAUACCUGGAGAGGCAAUACCUCAACAGUCAAAUCUCAAAAAGCUUUCCAUGUUCUAUUCAAGAGGACCAAUUUAUUACAAAGCCAUCAUACAUGCAAUAAAACUAUUUUAUUUUAGAUGGAAA
rnacentral:lncRNA from 1 species